rnacentral:rRNA from 1 species
AGAGUUUGAUCCUGGCUCAGGACGAACGCUGGCGGCGUGCUUAACACAUGCAAGUCGAACGGUAAGGCCCCUUCGGGGGUACACGAGUGGCGAACGGGUGAGUAACACGUGGGUAAUCUGCCCUGCACUUCGGGAUAAGCCUGGGAAACUGGGUCUAAUACCGGAUAUGACUCCUGGCCGCAUGGUCUGGGAGUGGAAAGUUUUUCGGUGCAGGAUGAGCCCGCGGCCUAUCAGCUUGUUGGUGGGGUAAUGGCCUACCAAGGCGACGACGGGUAGCCGGCCUGAGAGGGUGAUCGGCCACACUGGGACUGAGACACGGCCCAGACUCCUACGGGAGGCAGCAGUGGGGAAUAUUGCACAAUGGGCGGAAGCCUGAUGCAGCGACGCCGCGUGGGGGAUGACGGUCUUCGGAUUGUAAACCCCUUUCAGUAGGGACGAAGCGCAAGUGACGGUACCUGCAGAAGAAGCACCGGCUAACUACGUGCCAGCAGCCGCGGUAAUACGUAGGGUGCGAGCGUUGUCCGGAAUUACUGGGCGUAAAGAGCUCGUAGGCGGUUUGUCACGUCGUCUGUGAAAUCCCUCGGCUUAACCGGGGGCGUGCAGGCGAUACGGGCAGACUUGAGUACUACAGGGGAGACUGGAAUUCCUGGUGUAGCGGUGAAAUGCGCAGAUAUCAGGAGGAACACCGGUGGCGAAGGCGGGUCUCUGGGUAGUAACUGACGCUGAGGAGCGAAAGCAUGGGUAGCGAACAGGAUUAGAUACCCUGGUAGUCCAUGCCGUAAACGGUGGGCGCUAGGUGUGGGGUCCUUCCACGGACUCCGUGCCGUAGCUAACGCAUUAAGCGCCCCGCCUGGGGAGUACGGCCGCAAGGCUAAACUCAAAGGAAUUGACGG